rnacentral:tRNA from 1 species
CUUUUUUGGGCUCAGUUGGUAGAGCAUUGGGUUUUUAACCUCAUACUCGCAGGUUCAAGUCCUGCUAUACCCC